rnacentral:rRNA from 1 species
CAGUAGCCGCGGUAAUACGAAGGGGGCUAGCGUUGUUCGGAUUUACUGGGCGUAAAGCGCACGUAGGCGGAUCGAUCAGUCAGGGGUGAAAUCCCAGAGCUCAACUCUGGAACUGCCUUUGAUACUGUCGAUCUGGAGUAUGGAAGAGGUGAGUGGAAUUCCGAGUGUAGAGGUGAAAUUCGUAGAUAUUCGGAGGAACACCAGUGGCGAAGGCGGCUCACUGGUCCAUUACUGACGCUGGGGUGCGAAAGCGUGGGGAGCAAACAGGAUUAGAUACCCCCGUAGUCCCUGUCUCUUAUAC